rnacentral:rRNA from 1 species
UACGAAGGGGGCUAGCGCUGCUCGGAAUCACUGGGCGUAAAGCGCACGUAGGCGGGUCUUUAAGUCAGGGGUGAAAUCCCGGAGCUCAACUCCGGAACUGCCUUUGAUACUGGAGAUCUUGAGUCCGGGAGAGGUGAGUGGAACUCCGAGUGUAGAGGUGAAAUUCGUAGAUAUUCGGAAGAACACCAGUGGCGAAGGCGGCUCACUGGCCCGGUACUGACGCUGAGGUGCGAAAGCGUGGGGAGCAAACAGG